CAACGAUGACGUACUUUACGGAAUUGACGGUAUUGAUAUUAACUAUGAAAAGAUCAGUUCCAGUAUCAGUGACUUUUCCAACUGUAUAGGAGAGGUGAUAAAACAACUCAAGGUUGAUCCAGAUGUUUCCAAAUUCAUGAAAGUGGUGUCCAUUGCUCCAACAGAGGGUUCCCAAUCCUACUACCUCAAACUUUAUCGCGACAACAAAGGCUAUAUUGACUGGAUUGACUACAAGUUCUACAAUCAGUAUUUUAACACAGUGGAGGAUUUUGAAAAGCUCUUUAAAAUUCUAGUUACUGAAUAUGGUACUGCGUUAGAUAAAUUCUUGGUAGGAGUCAGCACCUAUGAAGCUAUUAAAUCUAAAACCAUUAUUGAGGGAUGCGAAUACCUCCUUAACCGUAGAUCACUUGUUGGAGUUUUUGUUUGGGAUGCUAAGCCCUCUGCCCCCGCAUAUACACCUGAGCGAGAGAUUCAAAAACUCCUUGCUAAAAAGUGAUUACUUACUAGCAAGAAUGGAUGGACCAUUAAACAAAAAUAAAGUGCCGUCAUACAUACUAUAAUUAAUAGCAACGUCUUAUGCGUCAUGCUAUGUAUAGUAUGUUACAUAUUCUAAAUAAGACCUAUCAUCCAUCGUGUCUGCUCUUUUUACUGCUUGUGUCUUUGUAUUCUGCACCUUUUUAUCUGUUUCCUUUAAGUAUUAUGUUAUCUUGUGAUUUGUGAGAUUUUAAUUGCUUCUGUUUCUGUUGUAUGUACCAUGAAUUAUCUGUAAUAUCUUGCUAU
rnacentral:lncRNA from 1 species